rnacentral:lncRNA from 1 species
GAUCAAAUGGCUGAUUAGCAAUAAAACAAGAACAUGUUAUUCAAGCAAGAUAUGUUACACGUAUUCACUUAGGUUUAUAUAUUAGGUAUGGAUGCUUGCGAGUAGAAUUGUUCACUUAAGCAUUUUGUCAAACGUCUGCGCUGGUAUCUGAGGUUUUUUGCUAAGUUUAGUGUAUUUUGAAGGAUCCGCAGGCAGUGCUUACGCCCUUUAUCACAACCGUACCAACACGAGUGUAGCAUAGGCUUCAAAACUACAUGUAGAAGUGGGAAAUAAUUUAAUUGAAAGUCCCACACCCCCUCCCUUACAAAAAAUUAUUAAGAGACAGAUAAACUUAAUACGAAUAAAUCACAGGGACAUUUCUAAAAAACACUACUAAAUUAAGCACAAAUAUCAUAAAGGAAAGAAAGCCCAUGAAUGAAAGUUGAAAAGGGCAAAGAAGAAAAACUACUAAUAAACACAAACCAUUCACUAUAUCGCUGCUGCCGCGAACACUUGGCAAGAGGCAGAUGGGAGUGGUGUUUGUCCAUGGACAGAGUGAAGGAAAGGCAGAGGAAAAACUGCAAGUUUGAGAAACAGAAAAGAAGGUGAAGGUUGUUAAAGAAGGCAAGUAAUGAGGUAGGGGGACAAAGACAGUGGAAAAUGUUGCUGUUGGUCUACUUCUUUGGCCAUUUUUGCAUCAAACUAUUUGUGCUCACAUCAUAGAUUACACUUGUCCAAACCAAUGGGCC